AGACCGUGAUGAGAACAUAGUCUCAUCAUGUCCUUCUAUCGUUCCCAAGUUUCAAAAAGUGAUUCUCUUUUUGUCUGUAUGAAUGUAGUUAUGUGAUUUCUUAGCAC